UUCAAGCAAUGCACAGCUAGGGGCACCUUGUCUCGCUCCAAGGUGUAUAGCUCCUCAAAGAGCGUUUCCAUGGAGUCAAUCCACAUCUCCACGAUCCACGGAUCGACAUUCUCUCCAUCGAAGGUAGGCGGAUCAAAUUUCUUGAAAGUCAUUAGGGCCGCCAAAGUCCGUUCUUUCUCCGCCUCCAAUUCCACAGAACCAGGGGCCACCGCCCCCGAAUCCAUCGCGACUCCUGUCGGUACACGGCACGCUGCUACAAGCACAGCCGCCGCAGCUGUCGUGUCAACAAUUCAUGGAGCUCCUUGAUCUGCUCCUCCUGUCGCUGCACUACGCCCAUGAGCGUAUUCAAUUGCUCGCGGAGCAUCGGGUCUCCGCUCGCCUCAGCUUGCCCAGGAACACCACUUGUCCCUUCCCGCGCCGAUCUGGAUGAGGAUCGCCUACGCGGUGCCAUCGCUUCCUGAAACACGACAACUCGAUUAGCUCGACCAACUUGGGUCGAACACGAGACCACUAACAACGGCUCAAAAGCCAAUCAGACGAAAGUCACGCGAGGGCAUCUAUUCUCAUCACUAGGUUUCAUGUUGUCGUACGCCAACAUAAACAUCCUCGGCUGAGAAUAAAUCACACCUCAAGUCUACCUCUAAUAUUCGUCUUAGAGGUUUACGACACAACCCAAUCCAUUAAUCUUUCGCCACAAAUCAUAAGUCCUCGUCUCUCACAAGCCUUAUUCUCCUAUGGUUUACUAUCCUAGGUCUCCUAGGUCCGACUAAACCAUUUCCCAUUCUCUACUUUAUGCUCUGAUACCACUUUACCUGUCACGCCGCGCGACCAACCGCCAAUUUGAACUGGGUCGCGGCGCCGACGACAGACCGCCGAACGGACCGGGGUUUCCCCUGUACGCGGACAGAGUCUCCCCCGUACGUUCUAGGCGUCGCAACAAGUACAAUACAAAGGUUCCAACCAGGAACAGUACUCAGCAAACAGAAUUGCAUCAGGAAAGUAUCAAUCAACAUAAACACAUCCUAUGAUAUUACAUCCAUUCAUUUUACAUCACAAUUCCAUUACAUUCAACUUCCAAUACAAUUAAGUUAUUACAACAUUUAUUUAUUACAAUUUGAUACAUUUGCUUGCUUUCAUUUUCUAUACCCCUAAGCUACGUCGAUGGGGUACUGUUAGCUCUGGUCUCUGGGGGUAGGGCGCUAUCUAUAGAGCUACGCCCUUGCCUCGCGCCGCCGCGCCGCUCACGUGCGAACCUGUAAAACUCCAAAACAAUGUGGGGUGAGAACCAACUCCAUGGUUCCCAGUGGGUACGGCCACCCAAGGGAGGAGCUCGACCAACAGUCCAAGGGAGGCAAAUACAAGUUAGUCCAAUAAACAGAUAGAUAUGUAUAUCAUAAAUGCAACUAACUUUACCUUACUUUGCCUCACAACUGCAAUGAUGCCAUGCUAUAUGCAACAGGAAUAUAUGCAACUUGAAUAUAUGCAACAACUAGUAGAAUUAUUAAUUCUACGAUCAAUCUUGCUAAUCUUAGCUCAUGUCAUCCAACUCUAAGGUUUCUACUACCUUAGGUUUAACACAUUUACCACUAGCCCUCAAGGUUCUAUCUACCUUAUUCCAGCUAGCCACCCGACUCGGCCUCGAGUCAAUCAACUGCUGAUAAUCCGCGCUCUGCCCGGCUCGAGGUGAAGAACCCUGUCACAACGCACCUCAGCCUGCAGGCCAAGAACCACAUCGCCCAACGGUUCGCCCGAAGGUUCGUGCACCGUGGUCAGGGAUCCGCCAGUGGGAGAGGAAACAUCGCCGCAUACACCCAUAGCCAAGAUCCCCGAUAGGGAGAGGAUCAUGCCGCGUACACCCUAGCGCUCUCUGUUCUUGCUUAGUCAUAAUCCUCAAAGUUCUUUCCGGUGGGAGAGGAACAUCGCCGCAUACACCCGCGGUCCAAGAACUAUUGAGUUCACAAGUACUGGGAUUCCGGAAUCGACUUCACAAGUCAAGGGUCCAUAUCCAACCCUAUACUAUUGACCUAUCUAGGUCCAAUGCACUUUCCACCCUAGGUCCAACUGACUCUAGGUCUAAUGCCUCGAUGUCACAACCUAGGUUUACUUUAACUCUAGGUUCAGUUCUCAACCUAUAUUCUUUAACACUAGGUUAGAUGCCACUCGUUAUUUAUCCUAAGUUCAACAAUACUAGGUUCGAUGUCAUCUAUGUUCGACCUAUGUUUACUAACACUAGGUUAAUGCCACUCGAUCUACUUGAUAUCCGACUUGUCAUAUCAAGUCCAUAUGCACAUGCAUCUUAUCUAACAUGCUCACAUGAUGUUACAUGCACC
rnacentral:lncRNA from 1 species